GACGAACGCUGGCGGUGUGCUUAAUACAUGCAAGUCGAACGUGAAGCUACCUUCGGGUAGUGGAAAGUGGCGGACGGGUGAGUAACACGUAGGUAAUCUGCCUUAAGGUGGGGGACAACGUUGGGAAACUGACGCUAAUACCCCAUAUGUGGCGAGUUGAAAUACUUGUCAUGAAAGUUCCGGCGCCUUAAGAUGAGCCUGCGGCUGAUUAGUUAGUUGGUGAGGUAAUGGCUUACCAAGACUAUGAUCAGUAGCUGGUCUGAGAGGAUGAUCAGCCACAAUGGGACUGAGACACGGCCCAUACUCCUACGGGAGGCAGCAGUAGGGAAUUUUGCGCAAUGGGCGAAAGCCUGACGCAGCAACACCGCGUGAGUGAUGAAGCAUCUUGGUGUGUAAAACUCUGUCAGAGGGGACGAAUUUUGACGGUACCCUCAAAGGAAGCAUCGGCUAACUACGUGCCAGCAGCCGCGGUAAGACGUAGGAUGCAAGCGUUGUCCGGAAUUAUUGGGCGUAAAGAGUUCGUAGGCGGCAUGUAAAGUCUGGUGUUAAAGCCCGGAGCUCAACUCCGGUUCGGCAUUGGAUACUUACAAGCUAGAAUGCGGAAGAGGCAAAGGGAAUUCCUAGUGUAGCGGUGAAAUGCGUAGAUAUUAGGAGGAACACCGGUGGCGUAAGCGCUUUGCUGGUCUGUUAUUGACGCUGAGGAACGAAAGCCAGGGGAGCAAAUGGGAUUAGAUACCCCAGUAGUCCUGGCCGUAAACGAUGGAUACUAGGUGUUGUAGGUAUCGACCCCUGCAGUGCUGCAGCU
rnacentral:rRNA from 1 species